GGAUUAGGUGUUUCCACUUCUGGUAGUUUUAAGUCCAGAUCUCAUGGCAGUCAGGGCUCGAGGUCGAGUCAGGGAUCAGUACAGUAGCUAGGGAGUAACCGUACUCAGACUCAGAGAUCUUCUCAGAGAUCAUUUACUCCUGGACAGAGUGAUAGCUCUGGUGUGGCCAGAUUUCUCUAGUGCCAGUUGUGCGAAAAAUUUCACCCUGGUGAGUGUCUUAAGGGAAUUGAAGUGUGUUAUCAUUGUGGUCAGAGGGGAC
rnacentral:lncRNA from 1 species